rnacentral:rRNA from 1 species
UACAGAGGUCUCAAGCGUUGUUCGGAUUCAUUGGGCGUAAAGGGUGCGUAGGUGGCGCGCUAAGUCAGGUGUGAAAUCUCGGAGCUUAACUCCGAAACUGCAUUCGAUACUGCGGUGCUUGAGGACUGGAGAGGAGACUGGAAUUCAUGGUGUAGCAGUGAAAUGCGUAGAGAUCAUGAGGAAGACCAGUGGCGAAGGCGGGUCUCUGGACAGUUCCUGACACUGAGACACGAAGGCCAGGGGAGCAAACGGG